AGCUCUAAAUUGGAGCCACUCAAGGCCAGCCGGGGCUCCUUGUACCAGGACAUAUGAUAGUUACGAAUGCUUGUUGCUUUCACUAUGGGCUCUCUGGGAGGACAGAGGGAGCAGACGGUAGCACUAUUAAGAUGCAUUUUCUUUUCAAGGGAUAUUGGCUCAGCACUAACUCAACAUGGAAACCGUGUCUUCUUUUAUUUCCACGCUGCAGCCCCAGAAGAAGCCUGCUCUCCAUGCCGUAUCAAGCACAGUCUCAAACCAGCAGCUCUCAGAAGGCUGCACAGAAGGUGGGACAAAUGGAAGCAAGAACAACUGCAGCCACAGUGCAAAGGCAACCUCACUCCCAGCUGAGAAGACCUGGGUUUGAUGGUGGUGCUGAUGCCUUCAGGGAUCUCUGAUCAUUUCACCUUUCCUUUGUUUCAUCUUUCACCGCUUAACUGUAAGAGGUCAGAAGCUGUAUGCAUCUUGCCUUUACAUUUUUCCUAGCCUAAGCAAGUCAAGACCAGACCCUACAUAGAAGAAAAAAAACAUCUGGGGACAGAUUUAUUUUAAAAGUAUGUCCACCCACAUCCCCCCAAUAAUUCAGUGAUGAUGGUUUCCUACAUAAAGACUUGCACAGAUUCA